rnacentral:lncRNA from 1 species
GACUCUGCCCAGAAGCAAGCAGGCUCCCUCGCUCACACACGGAGCCACAGAAGGUCUGAGCUCCAGCAUGGAAGGCCUGCCUCUCUCACAGCUGUACCACAUGUCCAGAACGUGACUGGUACCCAAGACAUGGGGAAGUCCUUGGCCCUGGCACCCAAGAAUAUGACCUUAUUUGGAAACAGGGUCUCUGCAGAUGGAAUUGAGGAAAGAUGAAGUCAUUGUGGAGCCUAAUCAAAUGUUCCUGCCGCAUCGAACCAGGACCAUUCCCCGUCUGCCAUGACCUUGUCUUUCCUUACUGUGUCUGCAAUGACCCUGUUUUCAGAGGUCAUACGGAGGUCCUAGGGAUUUGGAUUCCAACAUGUUUUCCCUUGGGAGAGCACUGUUCCCUUGGGAGAGCACUGUUCCCUUGGGAGAGCACUGUUCCCUUGGGAGAGCACUGUUCCCCAGCUGGGGGCGCUGCUUAAGAAGAAUGUGGAGCUUUUAAAAGUAGAACUUUGAAGGCUAAACUCAUCUCAGGGUUUGGCCUAGCCAGGUUCUCUGAUUCUUGUAAGGAACCUGUCACACACUUCUGCCACCAUGAAUUUAGCUAUGCCUUCAUUACUAUGAGAACUAAAUAAAACCCAGAGAAAUUACAAAUAAUAAUAAUUAAAAAAAACUCUUUCCUUUCUUACAUUGUUUCAAGUAUUGUGUGAUAUAAAGUAACAAAUGCUGGGGUGUUACAAUUAGAGGGUAAUUCCAGUGCUCUAUAGAUCCCAAGCUGCAGUAUCAUCCAGGUUGCACAAGAAGAUCUUAUCUAGGGGAAAAUUGGUUAGGAAGGACUGGCCUGGGACA